rnacentral:rRNA from 1 species
CCUACGGGAGGCAGCAGUGAGGAAUAUUGGUCAAUGGACGGAAGUCUGAACCAGCCAUGCCGCGUGCAGGAUGACGGCUCUAUGAGUUGUAAACUGCUUUUGUACGAGAAUAAUAGUUCUUACGUGUAGGGAUUUGAAUGUAUCGUACGAAUAAGGAUCGGCUAACUCCGUGCCAGCAGCCGCGGUAAUACGGAGGGUGCGAGCGUUAAUCGGAAUUACUGGGCGUAAAGCGCUCGUAGGCGGUAUGUCAAGUCAAGGGUGAAAUCCCCGCGCUCAACGUGGGAACUGCCUUUGAAACUGGCAAACUGGAGUGUGUGAGAGGAUAGUGGAAUUCCAGGUGUAGGAGUGAAAUCCGUAGAUAUCUGGAGGAACAUCAGUGGCGAAGGCGACUAUCUGGCACAUAACUGACGCUGAGGAGCGAAAGCGUGGGUAGCAAACAGGAUUAGAUACCCGUGUAGUC